rnacentral:misc_RNA from 1 species
GAUGAAGAACGCAGCGAAAUGCGAUAAGUAAUGUGAAUUGCAGAAUUCCGUGAAUCAUCGAAUUUUUGAACGCAUAUUGCGCCCCCUGGUAUUCCGGGGGGCAUGCCUGUCCGAGCGUCAUUGCUGCCCUCAAGCACGGCUUGUGUGUUGGGCCUCCGUCCUCCUCCCGGGGGACGGGCCCGAAAGGCAGCGGCGGCACCGCGUCCGGUCCUCGAGCGUAUGGGGCUUCGUCACCCGCUCUUGUAGGCCCGGCCGGCGCUUGCCGACACAUCAAUCUUUUUUCCAGGUUGACCUCGGAUCAGGUAGGGAUACCCGCUGAACUUAAGCAUAUCAAUAAGCGGAGGA